rnacentral:rRNA from 1 species
GACGAACGCUGGCGGCGUGCUUAACACAUGCAAGUCGAACGGGUCUGCCCUGUUUUUUGCGGGGUGGGUCAGUGGCGAACGGGUGAGUAACACGUGAGUAACCUGCCCCUCACUUCUGGAUAACCGCUUGAAAGGGUGGCUAAUACGGGGUGUUCUGGCUGUGCCGCAUGGUGUGGCUGGGAAAGAUUCACUUUUGUGGUGUUUUGGUGGGGGAUGGGCUCGCGGCCUAUCAGCUUGUUGGUGGGGUGAUGGCCUGCCAAGGCUUUGACGGGUAGCCGGCCUGAGAGGGUGGGCGGUCACACUGGGACUGAGAUACGGCCCAGACUCCUGCGGGAGGCAGCAGUGGGGGGUAGUGCACAAUGGGCGGAAGCCUGAUGCAGCGACGUCACGUGAGGGAUGGAGGCCUUCGGGUUGUGAACCUCUUUCGCCGGUGAAGAAGGUCCUGCUCUUUGUGGUGGGGUUGACGGUAGCCGGGUUAUGAAGCGCCGGCUAACUACGUG